UUUAAAUCCCUCCCCACCUCCCCUCCUCCAGUACAAAAUCAUCUGCGUACCUACGUUCAACCACUUCAUUGACCCAUUUUUAAGAAUUGCUUGGGUAUUGCCUUUACCUCCAUUGUUGCAUGAUUUGUUCUUUUUGCACAGGAAAAUAAAAACAAAAAUCUGAAUUAAAGCAUAUUUUUGUCAUUUAAACCAAGUAUUCGUACUGGGUUCUGAGGUUGCACAUGAAGUGCACUCUCGGUUUUCUGAUGAAAAGCAUUAUUACUAGGAAACAGCAUAUUUCUAAACGGAAUCUAAAUAAAAUGCUUUUCUUUCAUGUACAAUUUACUUUCUGCAUCGCCUAAGACAAAAUAUAUAGAAUAUAAAAUCCAGGUGCUGGCAGAAAACUUAAGUAGAAAGAUCAAAAGCUGAUCUCUUACUUAUAGAACCCGGCUUUGGGUCAAGUACGGUGGGGCUUGAGUGUUUAUAGAUCCUUGCAUCAAUGCAUUUAUCUCCUCAUUACAACAUAAAAUCUAGAUAAGUACUGUAAUUAUAUCUCAACAAUCGCAGGGAAGACUUAUGGCAUGAACUGAUUAAAGGGAUAUGCCAGCGUACUAAGCUAGACUUGAAUAAUGGUCAUCGGUCAGCGUUAAGCAACGACAUUACAAGGGUUAAUGUUUUAUUUUAUAUUUCCUCCAGAUCAAUUUCUUUGUAUUCUAAUCUGUAUUUUUAUUGUAUGCUAAGAAUUUCUGUGGUUGCGACAAGCCGUGCUUCAAAAAAAUCUCAAAAUAAUACCGGAUUGGUUGAAUGUGCUUGCAGUGGCUUUGAAGCCUUUUCACACUAUCCAUGGCUGUUGGUGGCUAAAUUUGCAGAAAAUCUUGGGUUCGUUAGUCGACUUUAUACAAAAAGAAGAAGAAGAAGAAGAAGAAGAAGAAGAAGAGAGGAUGGUGCUAUUAUUGAAGAUUUUCUUAAGUUUUCAUGAAGCCCUCUCCAAUUUUAUACAAUUUAAUUAAUUAAAAAAAUACAUCAAUUUUAUUUUGAUGGAAUAUAUGUGUGCUAGCUACAGCAAAAUAUCUCUACAUCAACGAUAUUAUAUUGGUAGCUGGAAACUUGGAGUUCAAACAUGCAA